rnacentral:lncRNA from 1 species
CUAGCCUCCGUUUGCCACGUAGUCCAAAGCCAAAUCUGCAUGCUUUGUUUUAUUACAGCACUCUCUUCUCCUGGGUCAGCUGGAAGGUCCUCUGCUGGCAUCACCAGGGCCCAGAGAAGUGGCUGCAAUUAACGAUAAGGUCAGCUGGCCUGGAACACCCAAGAUGGUCUCAUUCCCAUGCCUGACAGUAGGUGCUGCCUAGCAGCAGGAGUGCCUCAGUUUCCCUCCACAAGGCCUUUCAUAUUCCAUUAAGCUAGACUGGCUUCCUUACAAGGCAGUCCCAAGGCAGUGUGCCAAGAGAGCAAGCCUUAAUGGGUUAAUACAGAGAGUAAAGACCAACACCACCGUCCAGCACUGCCUCUCUUCCCAGCCCUCCGAAUCCCACCCAGAGGCCCACGAGCUGGUCUUCUGUGCCAUCUUCAUUCCACAUUUGGACAAGACGGAGGACUCAUGUGUCAGCCUCUGGGGGUAAGGAUAUCCACGUUAUCUGCCACGCAAAAUAGCAGUUCCUAUUCAUUUCUUCCAAAUCUGCCUCUGUCAACCACUGAUGGCGCGCUAUCCUGUACUGCUGGUACUGUGAGAUUCGGCACCAUUGUCUGUGUUCUGACUGUGCACACCUUUGGCGUGUCACGGCCAAGCUCUCACUUUCCGCUGAAGGAUGGAGUUUGGUUUUUUUUGCCUCCUGUGAAGGACCCGCUUUCUGCUAAUCAUUUUAAUUACUCUCUCCUGGAGCCCUUCCAGUCCUGUCACGCCAUCUGUAAAUGGCAGAGAACAGAACGACACACAUUAUGGUGUCAAUUUAUAAUAAUUUGGUACCAAGAUGCAAUCAUGA